UACGAAGGGGGCGAGCGUUGUUCGGAGUUACUGGGCGUAAAGGGCGCGUAGGCGGCGAUCCAAGUUAGGCGUGAAAGCCCCGGGCUUAACCUGGGAAUUGCGCUUAAGACUGGACUGCUUGAGUGCGGGAGAGGUGAGUGGAAUUCCCAGUGUAGAGGUGAAAUUCGUAGAUAUUGGGAAGAACACCAGUGGCGAAGGCGGC
rnacentral:rRNA from 1 species